rnacentral:lncRNA from 1 species
ACAAUUAUAAAUGUCUUGCAUGUUGAACUCUUUACAGAUUUCACAAAACAGUGAAUAUUCAAUAACCAACCUUUUUUACGGCUGCACAUGAAAUAAAAAUGACAAAACACGUUGCACGAAUAUAACCCUUUACCAUCCUUGUUAUUGUUGUAGAAACUAAGUCAGCCUUAUGCAAUUGAGCAAAGGAAUUACAUCUUUAGCUCAGUCAUUCGAUAUACACGCUACCUUGUUACACAGAGGUUGUGGGUUUGAGUCUCUGAUGAGACAAAGAUGAUUUUGUAAGAAACAUUGGCACCC